UACGUAGGGGGCAAGCGUUGUCCGGAUUUAUUGGGCGUAAAGAGCGUGUAGGCGGCCAGGUAGGUCCGAUGUGAAAACUGGAGGCUCAACCUCCAGCUGUCAUUGGAAACCAUCUGGCUAGAGUCCGGAAGAGGAGAGUGGAAUUCCUGGUGUAGCGGUGAAAUGCGCAGAUAUCAGGAAGAACACCGAUGGCGAAGGCAGCUCUCUGGGACGGUACUGACGCUGAGACGCGAAAGCGUGGGGAGCGAACAGG
rnacentral:rRNA from 1 species